rnacentral:rRNA from 1 species
UGGGGGAUAUUGCACAAUGGGGGAAACCCUGAUGCAGCAACGCCGCGUGAGGGAAGAAGGUCUUCGGAUUGUAAACCUUUGUUCUUGGUGACGAAGAAGUGACGGUAACCAAGGAGGAAGCUCCGGCUAACUACGUGCCAGCAGCCGCGGUAAUACGUAGGGAGCGAGCGUUGUCCGGAAUUACUGGGUGUAAAGGGUGCGCAGGCGGGACUGCAAGUUGGAUGUGAAAUGCCGGGGCUUAACCCCGGAGCUGCAUCCAAAACUGUAGUUCUUGAGUGAAGUAGAGGCAGGCGGAAUUCCGAGUGUAGCGGUGAAAUGCGUAGAUAUUCGGAGGAACACCAGUGGCGAAGGCGGCCUGCUGGGCUUUAACUGACGCUGAGGCACGAAAGCAUGGGGAGCAAACA